GUGUCAGCAGCCGCGGUAAUACGUAGGGGGCGAGCGUUGUCCGGAUUUAUUGGGCGUAAAGAGCUCGUAGGCGGUUUGGUAAGUUGGAUGUGAAAUCUCCAGGCUCAACUUGGAGGGGUCAUUCGAUACUGCCAUGACUAGAGUUCGGUAGGGGAGUGUGGAAUUCCUGGUGGAGCGGUGAAAUGCGCAGAUAUCAGGAGGAACACCCGUAGCGAAGGCGGCACUCUGGGCCGGAACUGACGCUGAGGAGCGAAAGCGUGGGGAGCGAACAGGAUUAGAUACCCUCGUAGUCC
rnacentral:rRNA from 1 species